rnacentral:rRNA from 1 species
UGCCAGCAGCCGCGGUAACACGUAGGGCCCAAGCGUUGUCCGGAUUCAUUGGGCGUAAAGAGCUCGUAGGCGGUUGAGUAAGUCGGAUGUGAAAACUCAGGGCUCAACCCUGAGACGCCACCCGAUACUGCUCUGACUCGAGUCCGGUAGAGGAGCAUGGAAUUCCUGGUGUAGCGGUGAAAUGCGCAGAUAUCAGGAGGAACACCAGUAGCGAAGGCGGUGCUCUGGGCCGGUACUGACGCUGAGGAGCGAAAGCGUGGGGAGCAAACAGGAUUAGAUA